UUUAGAUAUAGAAGUAAAAUUCAGAUAGAAAACAAUCAGAUCAUCUGGAGAGGCGUUAUCCUGCCCAUUCCAACAGAUCCCACCUUGAAAGUGGAUGUUGAUCAGAUAACAUGUCCAGCACUGUUAAUGGUUGGUGAUGAUGACCAGAGCUGUCCCAUUCUGGAGACUACUGAAGAUAUACAACAGAUAAUGGAAAAGGCAGGAAAUCAUCACCUGCUCCAAGUCUUCAUCUACCCUGGUGCAGGGCACCUAAUUGAGCCGCCAUACUCACCACAUCACUGGGCUGC